rnacentral:rRNA from 1 species
UACGGAGGGUGCAAGCGUUAUCCGGAAUCACUGGGUUUAAAGGGUGCGUAGGCGGCCUGGUAAGUCAGAGGUGAAAGCUUCCCGCUCAACGGGAGAACUGCCUUUGAUACUGCCGGGCUCGAAUUGGGUUGAGGCUGGCGGAAUGUGGCAUGUAGCGGUGAAAUGCUUAGAUAUGCCAUAGAACACCGAUUGCGAAGGCAGCCAGCCAAGCCUUGAUUGACGCUGAGGCACGAAAGCGUGGGGAGCGAACAGG